rnacentral:tRNA from 1 species
GCGGGUAUAGUUUAGUGGCAAAAUGACUGCUUCCCAAGCAGUAGAUCGGAGUUCGAUUCUCCGUACCCGCA